AAAAUUGACACCGUAACUUCGGGAGAAGGUGUGCCGCUGGCGGUUAGUGACUUCGCGUCACGAAGCUGUCGGUGGUCGCAGUGAAAUGGCGGUUGUGACUGUUUACUAAUAACACAGGACUCUGCGAAGUCGUAAGACGACGUAUAGGGUCUGAUGCCUGCCCGGUGCUGGAAGGUUAAGGGGAUAUGUCAGCGCAAGCGAAGCAUUGAACCGAAGCCCCAGUAAACGGCGGCCGUAACGAUAACGGUCCUAAGGUAGCGAAAUUCCUUGUCGGGUAAGUUCCGACCUGCACGAAGGGCAUAACAACAUCCGCACUGUCUCGACCAGGGACUCAGCGAAAUUACAUUGGGGGUGAAGAUGCCCUCUACCCGCGGAAAGACGGAAAGACCCCAUGAACCUUUACUGCAACUUGGCAGCGAUUUUCGGGUUGUUCUGCGUAGGAUAGGUGGGAGGCUUUGAAGCCGAGCUUCCGGGUUCGGCAGAGCCAACGUUGAAAUACCACCCUGAAUAAUCUGGAAAUCUAACCUGCGCCCAUGAUCUGGGCGAGGGACACUGCCUGGUGGGCAGUUUGACUGGGGCGGUCGCCUCCUAAAUUGUAACGGAGGCGUGCGACGGUUCCCUCAGGCUGAUUGGAAACCAGCCGUAGAGUGCAAACGCAUAAGGGAGCUUUACUGCGAGACUGACAAGUCGAACAGUUGCGAAAGCAGGUGUUAGUGAUCCGGUGGUACCACAUGGAAGGGCCAUCGCUCAUCGGAUAAAAGGUACUCUGGGAUAACAGGCUGAUCGCGCCUGAGAGUUCACAUCGGCGGCGCGGUUUGGCACCUCGAUGUCGGCUCAUCGCAUCCUGGGGCUGGAGCAGGUCCCAAGGGUUUGGCUGUUCGCCAAUUAAAGCGGUACGCGAGCUGGGUUUAAAACGUCGUGAGACAGUUUGGUCCCUAUCUUCCGUGGGCGCAGGACACUUGAGAGGAGCUAUCCAUAGUACGAGAGGACCUGGAUGGACGAACCUCUGGUGCUCCGGUUGUCACGCCAGUGGCAUAGCCGGGUAGCCAUGUUCGGAACAGAUAACCGCUGAAGGCAUAUAAGCGGGAAGCUGGCCUCAAGACUAGGUGUCCCUGACGCAAGUCACUAAAGGCCCCUCGAAGACUACGAGGUUGAUAGGCUCGGUGUGGAAGCGCUGCGAGGCGUGGAGCUAACGAGUACUAAUAGGCCGUGCGACUUGACCUC
rnacentral:rRNA from 1 species